GCCACCAACCCAGACUCCAGAAUGGUUGGUUUAAGAGACUAUGGGUUUAAUAUGAAAUGUCAUGGUAAUGUUUUGAAUAGGAUUUUCUACUUCUUCCUUUAGUGAAAAUAUCUUGGCCACUUGAGUUCAGCUGCCCUAUCUGACCCUAAAUUUAUUUUUUUUUCAAUAGAAAUUGAGCAUUGAAAAUGGAUGUUGAAUCAUAAAUUGUUGCUGGAAAGGCAGCUGGGCUCUUGGGAGAAAAGAAUGCCCCCCACCUUUCACGCCUCCUUCCCAUCUCUCCUUCCUCCACAUCAUUCCUGAUCUGCUUCUUCUGAGAGCUAGUUGGGUGGGUGAUGGUGCUGCUGCUACCUCCUUUAAUGGCACAGAUGUGGGAUUGACCUUCAGGUUGCUGUCACUGGCCUCUUGCUGUCCCACACCCUAGGCCUAGAGUGCAGGCUGGAGUGAAUCCCGAUGCCCAGCUAUUUGUGCUAGAUUCUGUGCUGGGCUGGCAGUACUAACCCUGCUGGAUUUUCUAUUAGAAUUUCUGCCAAAUUAACAAGGGACUAUUCUGUAUAGAGCUGUUGCUGCUACUCAGUUUCAGAGCAAAACUGUGGUGCUUUUGAAGCCCAUGGCUGUGGGCCCUCUAUGAUUAGGGGAAUCUAGAAAUGUCAGGGUUGUCUCAUCCUUCCUUUAUAUUCUUAAAAAAAAAAAAAAAAGAGUUUGUCUAGUCCUUUUCUUCGUGAAGCUUGAAAAUUUUAUUUUACAGGCCCAUGCAAAAAUUGCUAAGGGUGGCUCUGCCUAGUUCCACCCCCAAAUCCACAGCACUCCCAACUAUAUAUUGUUCAUAUGGAAGGGCUUUUGCAGGUAUUGGUGAAGGAUGACGGAGCAUGAGAUAGCCUCACUGGCCCCUCCACAGGCUGUUUGUUUCUUCUUUGCUCCUUCCUAAACCAUCCAGAGCAGACGAGCACCUGGCACAAUAUAUGUGAAUGAAAUAGAGGACUGGAAAUUUGUGUCCAACACUGAUUGAGUCUAUGCUACUGAAAAUGCCAUGGUGAUUGAUGUGAUAUAAACCUAAUUAAUAAAGAGAAAAUUACAAUCUCAUGGACUUCUAGGAUUUAGAAUAAAAUAAUAAUGUUCCUAUUGCUAACCCCUGGAUUACAUAUAUACUUCUUGCUCAACUGAGCUCCAUAAACAUUAACCUCCAUAAGCAUCAAGGGCAUUAAAAAAUAAAACAUGCUAGCUGAUAUCUCUGUCACAGUGUUUAUUUUGUUGAUAAGAACAACUAAUCAGAUUUAGUGAUGAUUUUUUCUUUCUGGACUCAUCUGUUUAGUUUGGAGUGCUUGUUCGUCUUUAUCCUUGAAUGUUACAAAAUAUAAGAAAUAAAACAAGUGUGCGUACAUGUAUUAUAUAUAAAUAAAUGGGGUGGGAAUGAUCGUAACAAAAAUAUGCACAUCUCCUUUCCUAAGUGGGGUAGGAAUGAACAUAUGCAGGUCCCUCUCCCUUCUUCUCAAAAAUAAAAUAAAAUAAAAUAAAAUAAAUCUACAUUUGACAUAUGCAUGAGGUGUAAUAUUUGUGUUUAUUUGCCUUACAUUUUCAAAUGCUGUUUAUGAGAAUGAAAGUAUAUGGGACCUGGUUUUCUUCCGAGAUUUCAAUUACCAAGUGGUGCAAAACUAUGAAAUGUGGAAUUCUUAAAUACCAGUUUGGUGAGCUUGCUGUUAUGGGCCCUCCGUAGAGUCUCUCCUCUUCAAGCCUCUUUUUUGAUCCUUUGUUUUCCCUGUAGGUCACCACUGAUCCAUCCCCUAAAGACAGUUGGCUGCUCUGAGGGUGAAGAAGGUGGCUGAUCUGCCACCAUAAAUGUUACAGAUUAUUUUAAAUAUUUGUAUAUUGAUUUAUCAGCCGCUGGUAUUAUACCCAAGUCAUAUCUAUGAAUAAUUACACUGUAUAUGGUAACCCACACAGCUUGCCACAACAAAACCAAGUUAGCACAGUAUAGUUCACAACACAUAACAUCUUUGUAACUUUUGUUAUGGAUGCUAGUUUAUCAAAUAAUGUUACAGUUAAAAUCUUAACAUUUAAAAGUACAGAGAUUAGUAUU